GAGAAUUUUUAGGGAUUGAUUUCGAUCUUCCCGAACCUUUUUUUCUUAUCCUAAACACCUGUGCAUCGUGGAGUGUAUGUAAUAGUACGCUCCACAAUUCUUAUCACACAAACUCUAUGUUUUUUUGAACGUAAAACAAGUGUUAAUUUUAUUUAACCAAAUAACAAAUUAA
rnacentral:misc_RNA from 1 species